rnacentral:rRNA from 1 species
AACGCUGGCGGCAGGCUUAACACAUGCAAGUCGAGCGGAGCGAAGGUGCUUGCACCUUAGCUUAGCGGCGGACGGGUGAGUAAUGCUUAGGAAUCUGCCUAUUAGUGGGGGACAACGUUUCGAAAGGAACGCUAAUACCGCAUACGUCCUACGGGAGAAAGCAGGGGAUCUUCGGACCUUGUGCUAAUAGAUGAGCCUAAGUCGGAUUAGCUAGUUGGUGGGGUAAAGGCCUACCAAGGCGACGAUCUGUAGCGGGUCUGAGAGGAUGAUCCGCCACACUGGGACUGAGACACGGCCCAGACUCCUACGGGAGGCAGCAGUGGGGAAUAUUGGACAAUGGGCGAAAGCCUGAUCCAGCCAUGCCGCGUGUGUGAAGAAGGCCUUUUGGUUGUAAAGCACUGUAAGCGAGGAGGAGGAGCUUCAGGUUAAUACCCUGGAUGCUUGGACGUUACUCGCAGAAUAAGCACCGGCUAACUCUGUG